UGGGGAAUAUUGGACAAUGGGGGAAACCCUGAUCCAGCGAUGCCGCGUGAGUGAUGAAGGCCCUAGGGUUGUAAAGCUCUUUUGACAGGGACGAUGAUGACGGUACCUGUAGAAUAAGCACCGGCUAACUCUGUGCCAGCAGCCGCGGUAAUACAGAGGGUGCUAGCGUUGUUCGGAAUUACUGGGCGUAAAGGGCGCGUAGGCGGUUAUGUAAGUCAGAUGUUAAAGACCUGGGCUUAACCUGGGGGAUGCCUUUGAUACUGCAUAGCUAGAGUGCAGGAGAGGAGAGUGGAAUUUCCGGUGUAGAGGUGAAAUUCGUAGAUAUCGGAAGGAACACCAGUGGCGAAGGCGACUCUCUGGACUGCUACUGACGCUGAGGCGCGAAAGCGUGGGGAGCAAACAGG
rnacentral:rRNA from 1 species